GAAAUGCGAUAAGUAAUGUGAAUUGCAGAAUUCAGUGAAUCAUCGAAUCUUUGAACGCACCUUGCGCUCCUUGGUAUUCCUUGGAGCAUGCCUGUUUGAGUAUCAUGAAAUCUUCAAAGUAAAUCUUUUGUUAACUCAAUUGGUUUCUACUUUGGUAUUGGAGGUCUUUGCAGCUUCACACCUGCUCCUCUUUGUUCAUUAGCUGGAUCUCAGUGUUAUGCUUGGUUCCACUCGGCGUGAUAAGUUAUCUAUCGCUGAGGACACUGUAAAAGGUGGCCAAGGUAAAUGCAGAUGAACCGCUUCUAAUAGUCCAUUGACUUGGACAAUACUUUUAUGAUCUGAUCUCAUAUCAGGUAGGACUACCCGCUGAACUUAAGC
rnacentral:misc_RNA from 1 species